GCCUCGAUAGCUCAGCCCGGUCAGAGCACCUGCCUCGUAAGCAGGGGGUCGCGGGUUCGAAGCCCGCUCGAGGCU
rnacentral:tRNA from 1 species